GAUUAUCCCGCUAGAACUUAAGCAUAUCAA
rnacentral:rRNA from 1 species